GGCUCUUCUUCGAGUCUUCUCAGAGGUUGGAGAUUCCCUGUCUUCUCCAACCUCUGCCAAGUCUUCAGAGAGGUUGGAGUGCGCCUGUCGGAGGUACUAGACCCCAGAUGAGGAUCUCAGGAAGAUCCACAAAGCUGCGUCCAGGGGAACGAACGUGUGGAAGCUGCAGCGGAGCCUCCUGCUCAAGAGUAAAGGACCGGUCUGAAACCUACAAGAACAGAUUCUCACAGUAGACGAGGAGCCUGUUUUUCAGCUAGCUGCUGCAAGGAGCUGGACAUUUCUCCCUUCAAAUAGGACCUGGAAGGCCUGGAAGCAUCUGGAGAAGGGCAUGGCUGUGAGUAGAGAAACAGAGGAUACAGGCUAAAGCAGGAGGAAGCGAGAGGACUCACGGAAAGCCUUGCUGCACUCUCCAAAAGAGCUGCCCUUUUCACGUGAAGAGCUAUGUGAUCGGAUCCCCGGUUUGGCAGAGUAGACAUGCGAGAAGACUGAACGUUUCAUCGUUGAAACCUCUUAAAGGUGGAAUGUGUGGCAGAAAGAACGUCUGAGAAGCUCACGCGAUUUGCAGAAGGAACAUUUGUAGAAGAUUCCCUGUUUUCCGAAGGAAUGUCAAGUUCCAAAGGACACAUAUUGCUUGUCUCUGAACUUCUCAGCUGCCUGCAGAUCUUCCUGUUUUUCAGCUGCAGUUAGGGUUUGUCUGAGGAGAAGCAUAACAUCCCUCCAGGCUUACCCUGGUUGCUCAGUGAAGAAUAAAGUACAGGGAACAUGAGAGAAUACAUGGGAGAUCAAUCAAGAUGCUACUUCAGUAAUCCAUGACAAUGACAACGUAAAGUAAUGCAAGGCCAAAUGCUCCACAAAUAAAUGUGUUGAAUGAAUGAACAAAUGAAUAAGCGAAGUGAAUGGAACAUCAAACUGCAUAAAAAUAUAUUUAUUCAUAAAUGAGAGGUGAUGAUUGCCAACAUAUCAUAAUCAGACUCUGACCUUGGUUACUUAUGAGUUUGACAACGAAGAGGAAAGAGGAUCAGAAACAUUAUAGAUGCCAGAUUCACAAAAGAAGAUAUAUGAUAGAAGCUGGAAUUGUUUGAAUAAAAAGAGUCAAAUUUUACAUUGGAUUAACCAGAGGGAAGAAA
rnacentral:lncRNA from 1 species